CUGCGUUUAGAUCGGUAGCACCGAGCAGCAAGAAAGCGCGGUCGCAAUCGGAAGUCAGAGAAAUCAAGAAGAGUGUAGACCUGUGGUCUAUGGAAGUCGUUCGAAACAAGCUGCAGCUAGCCGAAGUACGUUCGCUUUGCCGAAAGUGACGUCAGCCUACUACAUAUUACUGACUUAGUUCAGAGUCACUUCGAAGCUCAAGGUGUUGUUCCAUGCGAUGACCGAAUUAUCCUAGUGGACAACUGCGGCGAACCGUUCGCAGAUGACGACGAAACAAGAGACGUAGACUUUUGGAAGGCACCGUCUCGAAGAAUCUGUGCGGUACUCCAGUCGGACUAUGACUCACUGAAGUGCUACCUCGAUUCUAUACGAGAGACGGCACCGAUCAAAAGAAAACGAGCUUCAUCGGCCACCGCCUCGUCAACAGCGAUCGGUUACGGCCGGCUGCAGUCGUUGAGCUCGAGCACUCGUGCCUCAUCUCCGGAUAUGGAUAUCCUUUUCAAGAUCGACGGCGAAGUAGAAGACGCGCUAACUCAUCUCGGCCGCCUGGAGUCCAGCUUCGAACGAGUACACGAGCGACUCGAGAACAUCGAAGACAAGAUGGAGCAAGUGACUCGCCAUCGGUUGCCAUCGAAACGACGCACUAAAUCGAAAGUAACGACAAUAGCAGCAAGAAUGAUGCGUUGCAAGAUUUGCCACCUGUUCAGCAGAAGUCCGAUAGCAGUGUCUAUUUGCUGCCGACAAUGGCUCGGCUGCGAACGUUGCAUAGGCGAAGGAAGCCUCUGCUGAGUGGGGGGGCACAACGGUUUGUCAGGCCAUAGAAAUCCAAGAACACUGCUAACUCUAUGCCUUAGGGUUAGGGUUAGGGUUAGGGUUACCCUAACCCUAAGAUAACGGAGAGCAUUUUGUGGGGGCACGUGC